rnacentral:lncRNA from 1 species
AACAAUUGUAUUAUUACAUAUUAUUUUUAUUCUUACAUGAUUAUUUCCUCACAAUACUAAUUUACUCAGUUUGCAAUCCGAGGGAUUACACUAGGAGUAGUAUUAUCUAAAGAUGAUGAUUCAAUACACAACAUCUACCGCGAAUACAUUGCCCUUUUUUUCCAGGACAUCCAGGUUGACAAUCCAUCUGAUUUACAAGGUCCGUCAAGUUCUCUUCCUUCUGAUUUCUUACACAUAUCUGCAAGCAAUAUUUCUUCAAAACAUAAAAUAAUAUCGUAUGUAAACAAAGAAUAAUUCAAAAUGUAAAUUUGUUAGAAGUUAAACAUCCUUUUAGAAGCAGGUGAUUUAUUCAUUUUAUCAUUAGUUCCAAACCUGAUGUUAAGAUGCAGAAAGCAAAAGUAUAUCAUUAUAAGAGCAGACAUUUUGUAGUAUCCAUCUUUUUAAUAUAACAUAUGAUAUGACACAUAUAUCUGUUACUUAUAUAUGCAUAUGGUGGACUACAUUCUGACUGUAUUAUUACUUCAAAUUGAUUUCUUAAUUCAAAAGUAAAUUCAAUUCUAUGUAAGAUAAGAAAAAUAUACAUUUUUUGACCAAUAUAAAAUAUACCUUAAAAAUUGCAAUAAAUAUAUUAUAUUUAAUCAAUUUAAAGAAUAAACUAAUAAUAAAUAUUCUUAAUUAAAAUAUAAAUAACAAGUUCAAUGUAACUUUUGUUAAUCAUAUAUCACUUUUAAAAAAUAUUGAGAAGGAUAAAGAAAGUUUAUUAGCGGGAGAAAAGCUCAACUUGAUUGGGUUAGUUGAAUACAAGAUAUGGAGUUUAGGGUUCAAGCCUUCAUUAAAGCAUUUGUUAGUAUUUCAUAUAAAGUGUUAACGAAACAAGAUGUCAAUAUUCAUGAAUUAAAUAUUUUUUAUAAAAAUAAAUGAUAAUUUAUAUUAUUCAGUGACAUAAACGGCCAUUUUACAAAUAUUUCUGUUAAUUUGAAAUGUGAGACCUUAAAAUUACAAGAAUAAAACUCUUACGGCUGAAGUAGAAAAUAAACAUUAGAUUGACCUCUUUAUUUCAAGAGAUUAAUUACUAUACACUAUCAGUGUAAAAAGUUUUACACCGUCGAUUCUUCACCAUCAUCCGUUUGUAUUAUUUUAUAGAUUUUUAAAAUAAAUCAGUCUUCUUUUAAUAUCCGACGUCUAUGAUUAACUGACGUGUUAAAAUCCUUUUACAGUGUCAGUAUAUUUCAAUUAAACUCUUAUUUCAAUUAUGAUUUCAUAGAUUUUUUAAAAUGAUAGUAUUUAGUUUUAAAAUUUUGACUUAAUUUUUUACAGGAUAAUUGUAAAAUACUUAUAGGUUUCAUUAAAUUAAUUAUCUUGUUCGUUAAUAUAGGUUCUUGAUUAACAAAUUGCAGGAUUUAGAUCUUUGAUAGAAGUAAAUUUGUUAUUAUAUUUAUUGAUAAUAAUAUUUUUAACAUAUGAUAAAUAUAAUAACUUUUGAACUUUUCCUAUUUUUUCAUUAUAAAGUUAGUUAUUGUUUUAUUUCAAAAAUAAUAUAAAUUUUUAUUAGCACAUGAAUAUUUGUUGUUUUAUUUUUGAAAGACAUUAUUUUUAUUGUUGUUAUAUUUAACUUUUUUUAAGCAGACGGAAAGGCAAAGUGAUCUUCAACAACCUAACUAGAUUAAAAUAAAGAAGAAAAGUACAAAAAUUGAGAGACAUAAAACUAAAUCAAUUUUAAUAAAAAAUAAACAACUAAAAUGGGUUUUAUAAAACAUGUUAAAAUAGUAAUUAAACAUAAAUUUUAAUCAAGAGAUAUCAGUCGUGCACAACUUAUAUUAACCUAACAAAUUAGAAUUCGGAGCAACCCAACUUCCAAAAUUGAAUGACGAACUUUUGUUGUUGUUGUUGUUGUUAUCUUUAACUUAUUUUUAAGCAAGCGGAAGGUAGAGUGAUCUUCGACAAAAUACGUUAUACGAGAUAUUAAUUUGGUACUGAUACAACACAAGUGCCUAGCGAUAUCAUUAUAUGUAUGUCACAUAAACUAAAAAAAGGCAGUAAGGCACAUACCAUACAAUGGUGCCUAAAUAAAAAUUAAAAUCUAUAUGCAACAUCUUCAUGUGCUCACAAUCCACAUCGGAGAAUCACAUAACUCCCAAUCUUUGAAACAUCAAGAAACAAUCAUGCAUAACUUGUACAAACCAAUAAAUUAGAAUUGAGGCGCAAAAUUUAAUUACCAAAAAAUUAGAUUUUUUAGCUGAAUAGCACGAGACUCUGAACUUUUAGUGUUUCUAUUGAACUCGGUUGUAAAUACAAUAAAGAAUCAUGACACCCAGUUGAAACUAUUUAAAACCAGUUUUUCAUUUAAAAUUAUAUAAAAAAAUCAUGAAUUUUUAGACUUACUCGUCUUGCUCAAUUAUUAUCUAUUUGUAUUAUAGCAUAUUUCCAUGGGUGUUCUAUAUAUGGAUCCAUAUUGUAAUUAUUUCACUAUUAUAUAUUAUAGAAUCUAAAUAUGGUAAAUAUUUUUUAAUAUCUUUAAUAAUGUAUUGAAAUUCAUAUAAUAAAAAUAAUAAUAUAAAUAUUUUUUUCAAAAUGAAAAGAAACAAAAAAGAUAAAUAAAUUGAAAAAUAAUUAUCCAACUUUUAUAAGAUUAUAUUUUAUUUUAGAAAAUAUUUCCUUUUAAACAAUUGUAUUUAUACAUAUUAUUUUUAUUCUUACAUGAUUAUUUCCUCACAAUACUAAUUACUCAGUUUGCAAUCCGAGGGAUUACACUAGGAGUAGUAUUAUCUAAAGAUGAUGAUUCAAUACACCAACAAUCUUACCGCGAAUACAUUGCCUUUUUUUUCCAGGACACCAGGUUGACAAUCUCCAUCUGAUUUACAGGUCCGUCAAGUUCUCUUCCUUCUGAUUUCUUACACAUAUCUGCAAGCAAAUAUUUCUUCAAAACAUAAGAAUAAUAUCGUAUGUAAACAAAGAAUAAUUCAAAAUGUAAAUUUGUUAGAAGUUAAACAUCCUUUUAGAAAGCAGGUGAUUUAUUCAUUUUAUCAUUAGUUCCAAACCUGAUGUUAAGAUGCAGAAAGCAAAAAGAUAUAUCAUUAUAAGAGCAGACAUCUUGUGGUAUCCAUCUUUUUAAUAUAACAUAUGAUAUGAC